GUGGCAAGAGGGGUAAAAGGGGGUAGAGGGGAUAAAAGCCAAGACUGAGUCAGUCAAGUGCAGUGCAAUGAAUAACUUGCCGCAGCAAAUUAGCCUCGUAAAUUAGCAGUGCGCACAAGAAUAGGCAACAAAUCAUUGGCAGAGAAAAAAAACUUUGUAAACAUAGGUAAAUGGAAAAACUUGGACAAAUUGGGAAAUUAAUUAUAAACUAUUUAAUGUAUACAUAAUGUACAUUCUGCUGAGAUUCUGGGGUGAGUUUGUUUGUAUAAUUUGAAUUCCUAAGCUUCUUACUAGUAUAUUUUCCCCCUGGUUAAUUUCGUGUCUGCCUCUUUGAAUUUAAAUUUUCCGCUCAUCAUAUUGCUAUUAAGCCGCUUUCCAUUCUCUUGGUAAUCUGGUGAAUAAAUCUGCCAGCAUUAUGCACUCAUCAUAAUGCGUCUGCUGGUCUUUAAUUUGUAUUCAUUGUUAUUAUAGUCCCCAAGUACACAGAAACUGAAUGAAUGAGCGAUGAAUGUUUAAUGAGGGCGAUGCGCAAAAAUCGCAUUGCAAUCGAGAAAUUCACGCAUAUGAUUUUCAUCUAAAUUAUGUGCAAAAAUAAAUAGAAUGACUUGAAAUUUUAAUCUACAUGUUUGGGUGGUGGCCCUACAUAAUAGAUGGCUGGUAAUUUAAGCAACUACUUAUUUUGUUGUAAUUGUAAUUGCCGGUCGAAUAAACCCAUUUGUGUGUAUCUUAAUCUCUGACUGCUGCGUGUAUCUGUAUCUCUGCAGGUGUAAAAUUUGAACAAAUAAAUCUGGGAACCAAACCGGUUUCAUCACCAUGAGGCAUCCUUUGAAAACAAUUGAGCAGUUUUGAGGAGAGCAGCUUUUUUUUUUCAGUUUUGCUGGCGGCGGCAAAUGCAACUCACGGAAAGCAUUCAAAAGCAAUUAAGCGCUUUCUUCACAGCCCAGAGAGCGCGACAGAGACGGCCUUAGAUGGUGGGAAAGAGAAGGGCGCACACAUGAGUUGAAAAUGUAAUAUCAUCAAUCAAAAAAAAAAAAAAAAAAAGAAGGAACACAAAAAUACAGAGACAGCAGAAAAAUUAAGCAGGGAGAGUGAGUGCCAAAGAAAAGCCAUGCCCAAGCUUAAAACUGGAAAUUCUCUUUUACACCGAAAGAGUUAAUGAUCUGGGAAAUAUGUCCGAUGAAAGCUGAUUUGGAAGAGAUGCAGCACGAAGCCAGCUCACGAAACGGCGGCAACAACAAAUUUAGCUUGAUUAUGCCAACCACCGACAACAACAACAAGAAGAAACAGCAAACAACCACAACGAAUUUUUUUUAUCAUCGCAUAUAUUGAAAAAUGCUUCAAACUAAAAGCCAAGCGCUGUAAUCAUAUUUAACUUUGCCUCGGUUAUGUGCCUCAUCUUCUGCAGCCGCAGCCUCAUCUCUCCUUCACCUGAUUUUGGUUGAUGCUGCUGCUGCUUCUGCUGCUGCUGCUGCUGCUGUUGCCAAACCUCAGAGGCAACCGCAACAGGUAAUUGAUGCCGCUUGCGCGUUGCAAGAACUUUAAUCAAUUUUUCAGAUAUUUUUCUUUCGUUUCGUUGCCUUUUUUCGAGUUGCUCGUCUACCUUUCUACGUGAUGAUGUUGUAUGUAUGCAUGUGUGUGUGUGUUGCAAGUGGCCAUAACAACCGAAAACGGCAACCGAAAUGGCCAACACAAACUGCCCCCCGUGGAAAGGGGUAAAAUGGAGGGGGGGGAGGGGAGGAGUGAGAGGCGGAAGCAAGGGGGGAAGAUCGCAGUGAACCCAAAUGACUGGGAAUUUGGCCAGGUAAGCCAGGUAGGUAAGUGCAGCCCAGAGCGGCCAGUGGCCAAGUGGCAAGUGGCUAUCACGGCAUGGCUAUAUAGCCGCCGAUACACACGUAUUUACAGUAUGUAUGUAUUGGUAUACAGCUCUGGGUGAAGGCAGCAACAAAUUUCAGCAAAUUACUAUGAGGUAACCAAAGAAGCAAGGUUUCCCAGAUCAGAUAUCCCAACACGAACGUAUAAAUCUUCUGAAGAAGGGUUCUAAGUACAGGUAAGACGUAAUAAGACUUUAAUACGUGGACUUAAAUGAAGCUUUGUUCUAGCAACAGUGUUUUUAGACAUAUUAUCUUGAAAUGAUAAGAUUAUAAGAGUUCAUAUAGUCAGCUAAGCCUAAUUUAAAUAGUGUUACCAUUUAAAUUUAAACUUUAAGUUCUUGGAAUUUGGAAAGCAUUACGAAUCUAUGAAUGCCAUAUCAUUUUCUACACGGCGCUUUUAUCGCUUUUCUAUGCCAAUAAAGUGUGUAUUGCAUAUGCAUUGGUUACUCUUUGAUUGCCACCGAAUGUCGACUAUACUAUAUACUAUAUAUCCGAUUUCAACGAUGGGUGGUGGGUGGGUUGGUGAUUGGCGGAAUUGUGAAGUACUUGGAGUACUCAUAUAGACCCAGCGACAAGUUGCAGUCAUUUACUUAACUUUCACAAUUUCGAUUUACACAUCUACAUGACUCCUCUUUAUUCUCCCCGCACAAUCAUAUAGAUAUAGGUAUAUAUAUAUAUAUGUAUGCAUAGAGAGAGAGGGAGCCUAUCCCCUUUGCCCUACGCCUCUGCGGUCGGCUGUCUACUCAAUCACAGCGUAAAGCACUUCUGAGUCAUAAAAACCAAGCCAGACUGCGAUUGUGCAGUUGGCAAUUUUAUGCAGCGCCACUUGGAGCACUCCGGAUCUCCGGAUUCGAGAUGCCAGCAGGGCAGGGUGGAGUGGUGCUGCAAAGUUAGGGGUUUCGGGGUUUACCAUGGAGUGAAGCGAUAAAAAUGACACAUGGAGCUCCACUCCAUUCUGUUCCAAAGGCAAAUGGCAAAUGGCAAAUAGCCGCGAGAGAAAGAGAGAGAUAGCCCUGUGGCAAGUGACACUUCGUGGGGGCAGAGACAUGGCCAAAAGGAGCCAAGCCGAUCGAGUUUGUCUCGCGAAGUAAGAGUUAUAUCCUUAAUUCACUGCGGACAUCACCUCCUCGAAUGACAAAGACUUCAAUUACUUUAUAUAGAAUAACAAGCAAAUCUUUCGUUUCUAUUCAUAUAAGUUAUUAGAAACUGCAAAAUAUAUGCGUUUUCAAGGUUUUCAAAUAUAUAUUUUAAACACCAGAAGUACUUUCCUUUUUAUUUAUUUUUUGUUUUUGAAGAAUGUCAAACAUGUUUUCGAAAGCAAUUACAACAUGCAAUUAAAAAUCGCCUGCGCUGAAACAAAAAACCGUUUCGUUUUGGCCUGCAGACAAUCGGGAUUGCAUAACCGGGAAACAUAUUUCUGGUCUCGUUUUGACUUAUUUUUUUAUAUGUAUACAUAUAUACGUACAUUUGUGUGUAUUUAUAUAUCUUUUGUUUUAUACAGUGUCCGAAAAACGAGAGCGACAAGUUGACACAAUCGUGGACAACUUUUUUCGUACACAAGCCAAUCAACUGUGGCACAGCAGAAAGCUCAAAAAAAGAGGAAAUAAUUAUGGAAAAACAAUUUUUAAUUUGCAAUUGCACUCGCAACAGCAGCAGCGCAGUAACAACCGAAAAACUUAACAAGCCAACCUUGGCGUUUAUGCCCUUUAAUGGGGAUUUUUAUACGUAUUUUUAUACCGCUUUUUGUGCGCCUCACCUUGAGAUAACUUUACGUGGAGUUGGAGUUGGAAUUGGAAUUGGAGUUGGAGUUGUAGUUGGAUGUGGAGGUGGAGCCAAUGGGCGAAACUCUGAGCUCACAAUGCAGCCCUUUGAUCGUGAACAGGCGCAACCUUGGAAUGAAAUCGGUGGGAUCUCUCUCUAUAAGUGCUGCAUUUUUCCCGGUGUAUCGAUGGUCGAAGAAGCAGCAGCUGCGCCGACGAUGGGCAACAUACGCAAAUGCAAGCAGCAGAAAUUUAUGAGCAGCCAUUCGCAGGCAUCGCCGAGGAUCCGCCAACAAAACUGCCACAAGUGGCCAAAAAGAUAGAAGCCAGGAGGGUAAGUAUAUAUAUAUAUAUGUAUAUGUACAUAUAUAGGUAUAUGCACGAGUGUAAGACCCCGGCCAAGUGCAAUGACAAAGGCAAAUAAAUUACAGCAUAAUUUGCAGGCAGCAGCAGCAGUCGACAAAGUAGCGAAGGAAGCGCUAGGAAAAAGGACCAAGCAGCAGGAGAAGCUUAACUACCAUAAAUUGGCCAACGACAAUAAAAAAAAAGCGGCGGAAAGAAGGAACUAGCAGAGAGAGAAAAAAACACUCAGACCUCAAUCAAUGGAGAAAUAAUUACAAGCGUUACUUUCUUCGGAGGGGAGUCUCUCCCCCGCUUUUCACCCUCCUGGCCACCUCCUUGACCCUUCUCUUUUUCCCCAAAAAACAUUAAUCAAUGGUAAUUGCAUACGCCCCGAAAAAGAAGGAAAACCCUGAAAAUUGGAAAGGUAUCAAAGGAAAGCUGCUAGAUAUUAUGGAUUUUCGAUUAUAUGUACAUCAGCUAGCGAGGAUAGUCGGUUUGUCUUUAAGAAUACACUUUUUUAAGAAUAGCAUUUUCCGAGUGCAUUGCGUUCUUCUUGCGCCGAUAAUUUGUUGAUUUCUUCAUCGAAAUUCGAGUAUCCUUUCACCAUCAGCAGUUACAAAUUGUGAUUCAUUUGGGAGAUUCGAGCCUCAGUUUUAUUCGGGUUUCAACUCCUUUGCUCUUGCAACAAUACAAACAGAUAUUAUAUUAUUUUUCUUCGCUUCUUUCUUCCUUGUAAUUGAGCUGGAAUGAUUGUUGGAACCGGGUUCGCGCUCUUGUCUCGGGGACUUUAUGUUGUUUUAUUCAUCUUCUUCUUUCCCAACUACCUCAAAAGUGUAAGGUGCGGGUGCUAAAUGUAAAGCUAUUUAUGUUUUGUGACGUUAAUUUUGCAAAAAAAAUCGUAAACAAGUAGAAAUGCAAGUGUAUUCGAUUUUGCAUUAUUACUAGGUUAAUGAGUAUAACUGAUGUCGCGCACUGUACUGAGUACACUCCCAAAAGUCAUCUUGUCGGCAAAAGUCUUUGGCUUGGAAAAAAGCAUUUUCAAGUGUUUUUUUCGCAUUUGCCGCUUGACUGAUGCUUUGUUGUUGUUGUUGUUGUAGAAAUUGUUGUUGAAAAUUUUGUUGUUGUAAUUUUAUUGUUGCUGCUUUUGGCUGUUGUCGAACAUGUUGCUGAUAUCGUUGUUUUUGUUUCGGCUUGUUUAGCUAUGUUUUCUCCACAUUUUUGUGUAUGUUUAUUUUUCUUUCGUGUAAUAUUACGUAUACGUAUAGUACAACUAUUGUUGUUUUUUAAUUGGCCCAUGCUUAUGUGGCUUUUCGUGUUAUUUUUGUAGUUUUUAUUGCCGUUUUUGUUGCUUUUUUGCUUUUUGUCCUGCUCAAAUUGCAGGCACAUUCGUCUGGCGAUUAUUAACUUGCAGAUUGCACAUUUUACAGUCAAUUUGGUGCGCAAAUCGAGUUUGUGUUUUUGCUCCCCUUUCGGUUUACCCCCUCCUCAUUCACCCCUUCAUUCAUUCACUUCAUUCUUCCAUUGCCAACUUCUUGCUCUGUUUCCCCCCAGUACUUUAUGUGCAAUUUCUUUCGUUACAUUAAAGUAGUGGAAUGAAAAUAUGUUUCGCCUCAGGAUAAACACUUCACUAGAUGCAUUCAUUUUUCAUAUACAUUUUGUAUGAAGAAACUAAAUCACUAAAUCAUUACAUUUGGCUAUAAUAUACCUAUUAGCGCGUAAGUAAGGCAUGUUUCGCACAAGCCAGGCUCCACUGUAAAGUCCAAAACACCCGCCGACACAAACAAGCCAACAAAUCUCCCAUAAUAAUAAUUGAUAAACACUCGACAGGUUCAUGAACCCCGCACAUGCACACGCACACAAAUACAAAUACAAAUACAACCGAAACCGAGCCAGCAAAAAAGUAAAUAAAAAAGUAAAAGAAGUAGCCAUUGGGGAGAUAGAGCAAGAAACUCCAUCGUUUAGUCAUUUUUGCUGAACAUCUUAUAAUUAUUUUUAGCUUCAGUUUUCUGCCUUCAUUUGUGAGUCACGUAGCGGGGGGAAUCCCCUCGCAUGUCACGGUGCCAAAUGGUUUUUUAAUUGUUUAUUAAAAAACACAAAAGAAAUGGCAUAGCCGAACGCCUUGACUAUUAGAUACCCUUACAAAUUUUAAGGGACAUACGCGAAAACACGGAAAAUUCGGAAAACGACUUUUGGCAAAGAAAUCGAUAUUAAAGAUGGGUUUUUGUCAUAGCUUCGCUGAAAAUGGUCGUAUAGAUGAAAUAAUAACUGUUUUGACGAGCUAAUUACCAGUGCUAUCGAUCCCUAUCACUUUUUAAAGAAUUUAGAAAAAUUAAUUUUUGGGUCAAUUUUCGCAUUUUUCAUAAGGGGUAACAUCAUCAAAAUUUGCAAAAAAUGGCCAAAAAAUAGAAUUUGCAUUUUU